rnacentral:rRNA from 1 species
UACGUAGGGUGCGAGCGUUAAUCGGAAUUACUGGGCGUAAAGCGUGCGCAGGCGGUUCGUUGUGUCGGCGGUGAAAGCCCCGGGCUUAACCUGGGAAUGGCCGUUGAAACUGGCGAACUGGAGUGUGGCAGAGGGGGGUGGAAUUCCGCGUGUAGCAGUGAAAUGCGUAGAGAUGCGGAGGAACACUGAUGGCGAAGGCAGCCCCCUGGGCUAACACUGACGCUCAGGCACGAAGGCGUGGGGAGCAAACAGG